rnacentral:rRNA from 1 species
GAUGAACGCUGGCGGCGUGCCUAAUACAUGCAAGUCGAGCGAACAGGCGAGUUGCUUGCUGCUGUGAGGUUAGCGGCGGACGGGGGAGUAACACGUGGAUAACCUACCUAUAAGACUGGGAUAACUUCGGGAAACCGGAGCUAAUACCGGAUAAUAUUUUGAACCGCAUGGUUCAACAGUGUAAGACGGUCUUUCUGUCACUUAUGGAUGGAUCCGCGCCGCAUUAGCUAGUUGGUAAGGUAACGGCUUACCAAGGCAACGAUGCGUAGCCGACCUGAGAGGGUGAUCGGCCACACUGGAACUGAGACACGGCCCAGACUCCUACGGGAGGCAGCAGUAGGGAAGCUUCCGGAAUGGGCGAAAGACGGACGGAGCAACGCCGCGGGAGGGAGGAAGGUCUUCGGAUCGUAAAACUCCGUUAUUAGGGAAGAACAAAUGUGUAAGUAACUGUGCACGUCUUGACGGUACCUAAUCAGAAAGCCACGGCUAACUACGUG